rnacentral:rRNA from 16 species
GGAUGCGAUCAUACCAGCACUAAAGCACCGGAUCCCAUCAGAACUCUGAAGUUAAGCGUGCUUGGGCGAGAGUAGUACUAGGAUGGGUGACCUCCAGGAUGGGUGAUCUCCUGGGAAGUCCUCGUGUUGCAUUCC